UCAUGGUGAUCAUGAUCAUGAUGAUCGUGGUCAUGAUGAUGAUGAUGAUCGUGGUCAUGGUCAUGAUCAUGGUCAUGGUCAUGAUCAUGGUCA
rnacentral:misc_RNA from 1 species